GCCAUGCGGUGCGCGACGCCGAGCGCGGCCGCGGUGAGCGCGGCGAGACCCUCGGGUUCGGUGCCCGGCGCGUCGUG
rnacentral:tRNA from 1 species